AUGAGCGGAGCGGGCAGCCCCUGAAUAUAAUGAGGACACCAUCUCAAGGCGA
rnacentral:snoRNA from 1 species